rnacentral:rRNA from 1 species
CUAGCCGUAAACGUUGGAUACUAGGUGUGGGGGGUAUCGACCCCCUCCGUGCCGAAGUUAACACAUUAAGUAUCCCGCCUGGGGAGUACGGCCGCAAGGUUGAAACUCAAAGGAAUUGACGGGGGCCCGCACAAGCGGUGGAGCAUGUGGUUUAAUUCGACGCAACGCGAAGAACCUUACCCGGGCUCGAAAUGUAAUGGACAACCAUGGAAACAUGGUCUCUACCUUCGGGUAGUCGUUAUAUAGGUGC